UGGGGAAUAUUGGACAAUGGGGGGAACCCUGAUCCAGCCAUGCCGCGUGUGUGAAGAAGGCCUUAUGGUUGUAAAGCACUUUAAGCGAGGAGGAGGGUACUGGUAUUAAUACUACCAGCUACUGGACGUUACUCGCAGAAUAAGCACCGGCUAACUCUGUGCCAGCAGCCGCGGUAAUACAGAGGGUGCAAGCGUUAAUCGGAAUUACUGGGCGUAAAGCGCGCGUAGGUGGUUCGUUAAGUUGAAUGUGAAAGCCCCGGGCUCAACCUGGGAACUGCAUCCAAAACUGGCGAGCUAGAGUAGGGCAGAGGGUGGUGGAAUUUCCUGUGUAGCGGUGAAAUGCGUAGAUAUAGGAAGGAACACCAGUGGCGAAGGCGACCACCUGGGCUCAUACUGACACUGAGGUGCGAAAGCGUGGGGAGCAAACAGG
rnacentral:rRNA from 1 species